rnacentral:rRNA from 1 species
UACAGAGGGUGCGAGCGUUGUUCGGAAUUACUGGGCGUAAAGCGCGCGCAGGCGGCUCUUUAAGUCUCGUGGUCAAAUGCCGGGGCUCAACCCCGAGCGUGCCGGGGAUACUGGAGGGCUGGAGACAGGUAGAGGCAAGCGGAAUUCCGGGUGUAGCGGUGGAAUGCGUAGAGAUCCGGAAGAACACCGGAGGCGAAGGCGGCUUGCUGGACCUGGUCUGACGCUGAGGCGCGACAGCGUGGGGAGCAAACAGG